rnacentral:rRNA from 1 species
UACAGAGGUGGCAAGCGUUGUUCGGAAUUACUGGGCGUAAAGGGCGCGUAGGCGGCUUUCUAAGUCAGACGUGAAAUCCCCCGGCUUAACCUGGGAACUGCGUCUGAUACUGGGAGGCUUGAGUAUGGGAGAGGGAUGUAGAAUUCCAGGUGUAGCGGUGAAAUGCGUAGAUAUCUGGAGGAAUACCGGUGGCGAAGGCGGCAUCCUGGACCAUAACUGACGCUGAGGCGCGAAAGCUAGGGGAGCAAACGGG